GGGGAAUAUUGCGCAAUGGGGGAAACCCUGACGCAGCAACGCCGCGUGAAGUGAAGAAGGCCUUCGGGUUGUAAGCUCUUUAAUCCAGGGGACGAAGAAUGACGGUACCUGAAGAAUAAGCUCCGGCUAACUAC
rnacentral:rRNA from 1 species